UACGUAGGGGGCUAGCGUUGUCCGGAAUCAUUGGGCGUAAAGCGCGUGUAGGCGGUCCGGUAAGUCCGCUGUGAAAGUCGAGGGCUCAACCCUCGAAUGCCGGUGGAUACUGUCGGGCUAGAGUGCGGGAGAGGCGAGUGGAAUUCCUGGUGUAGCGGUGAAAUGCGCAGAUAUCAGGAGGAACACCAAUUGCGAAGGCAGCUCGCUGGAACGUAACUGACGCUGAGACGCGAAAGCGUGGGGAGCAAACAGG
rnacentral:rRNA from 1 species